rnacentral:rRNA from 1 species
CCUACGGGUGGCAGCAGUGGGGAAUAUUGCACAAUGGGGGAAACCCUGAUGCAGCGACGCCGCGUGAGUGAAGAAGGAAUUCGGUAUGUAAAGCCCUAUCAGCAGGGAAGAAAAUGACGGUACCGGAGUAAGAAGCACCGGCCAACUACGUGACAGCAGCCGCGGUAAUACGUAGGGGGCAAGCGUUAUUCGGUUUUACUGGGUGUAAAGGGAGCGUAGACGGCAGUGCAAGUCUGGAGUGAAAGGCGGGGGUUCAACCCCCGGUCUGCUCUGGAAACUGGACGGCUGGAGUGCAGGAGAGGUAAGUGGAAUUCCUGGUGUAGCGGUGAAAUGCGUAGAUAUUAGGAGGAACACCAGUGGCGAAGGCGGCUUACUGGACUGUGACUGACGUUGAGGCUCGAAAGCGUGGGGAGCAAACAGGAUUAGAUACCCGGGUAGUC